CCUACGUGAGGCAGCAGUGAGGAAUAUUGGUCAAUGGACGAGAGUCUGAACCAGCCAAGUAGCGUGAAGGAUGACUGCCCUAUGGGUUGUAAACUUCUUUUAUAAAGGAAUAAAACGAGGCACGUGUGCCUUUUUGCAUGUACUUUAUGAAUAAGGAUCGGCUAACUCCGUGCCAGCAGCCGCGGUAAUACGGAGGAUCCGAGCGUUCUCCGGAUUUAUUGGGUUUAAAGGGAGCGUAGAUGGGUUGUUAAGUCAGUUGUGAAAGUUUGCGGCUCAACCGUAAAAUUGCAAUUGAUACUGGCAGUCUUGAGUACAGUUGAGGUAGGCGGAAUUCGUGGUGUAGCGGUGAAAUGCUUAGAUAUCACGAAGAACCCCGAUUGCGAAGGCAGCUUACUAAACUGUGACUGACAUUGAUGCUCGAAAGUGUGGGUAUCAAAUAGGAUUAGAUACCCGUGUAGUC
rnacentral:rRNA from 1 species